UUAUUGGAACUACACGAACUGCUAGUCUGGAGCUGUGUAACGACCUUGUCGAACACUAAACUGUAACUAAUCAGUCUUAAUUAUUGUUUUAGUAUAGUUCUACCGUGAUGAAGAUGUUUUAUGUAUCGACCUUGUUUUUAAUCUACUUUAUUCAUGUUACCUUAGUUGGAUCGUGUCCUGAUAAAUGUACCUGUUCAUAUAAUUUGAAUAGCGAAUUAACAGUAUUCUGUAAAAGUAGAGGACUUACGCAAGUUCCGUUGAACUUUCCGAAUGACACGUUUAAAAUAGAUCUGUCUUACAACAACAUCCAAACUAUUGAAGUUGAAGCAUUCGUCGAUCUGAAAAACCUUCAUGGAAUAGAACUAUAUAAAAGCCAUGUGGAACGAAUUAAAACUGGAGCUUUCAAAGACUUGCCCAACUUAGACUACAUAUAUCUUUUUAGUAAUAUAAUAGCACAAAUUGACGCCAAUGCCUUCACAAAUCUUUCGAAGUUGACACAUAUAGAUCUGCAUUAUAACAACAUCGGUACAAUACUAGCAGACACUUUUGUGGGACUGGAAAGCCUUUCGUCGAUAGGGUUACAACAAAGUGGGGUGGAACAGAUUGAAAGUGGAGCAUUCAAAGACCUUCCGAAUUUGGGCGGAUUGUAAGAUAUCAUGUAGCAGCUAUCAAAAUUAGCAUACACACAAAAUAAUAAUCACUUGCGUGGAUAGGGUUGUUUAUGUGCGUGUGCGUUGGUAAGCACU